rfam:Triticum aestivum genome assembly, contig: Triticum_aestivum_CS42_TGACv1_scaffold_050982_1BS
GGGUCCAUUGCUCAGUUGGUAGAGCACAAGGCUCUUAACCUUGUGGAUGUGGAUCCA